rnacentral:rRNA from 1 species
CCCUUAGAUGUCCUGGGCCGCACGCGCGCUACACUGAUGCAUUCAACGAGCCUAUCCUUGACCGACAGGUCCGGGUAAUCUUUGAAUCUGCAUCGUGACGGGGAUAGAUUAUUGCAAUUAUUAAUCUUCAACGAGGAAUGCCUAGUAGGCGCGAGUCAUCAGCUCGCGUUGAUUACGUCCCUGCCCUUUGUACACACCGCCCGUCGCUACUACCGAUUGAAUGGCUUAGUGAGCCUUUGGGACUAGCCGCUUGUACCGGCAACGGGAACGAGUGGCCGGGAACUUAGGCAAACUUGGUCAUUUAGAGGAAGUAAAAGUCGUAACA